rnacentral:tRNA from 1 species
UCCGUUAUGGUCUAGUGGCUAGGAUACAUCGCUCUCACGCCAGUGCAAGUGCCGAUGUGGCCGGGGUUCGAUUCCCCGUGACGGAA